AAGAAAAACACCAUGUAAAGAUGUAUAAAGCAGGUCUUGUGCGGUUACAGAGGACAUGACAGCAUCAAGAGUUUGUAGGAGAAUCAUGAUGAUAAUCAGUUGCAAUGUGAACUAACAAAUAACCAUGAAGUACAAGCAGAUCCAAUUAAUGUGGAACAAAUAAAGGAGAAUCAUGAUGAUGAUGAGUUGCUAUGUGAACUACCAAAUAACCAUAAACUACAACCAGAUUCAAAGCAUAUGGAACAAAUAGAGGUGGAAUCAACUUCAGACGACAACUUUUCCAAACACCUUGUGAAAGUCAUCUGAAUGCCAGGAUUCUCAAGAGCAUGAAGAUUGUCCAUUACAUAGAAGGAAGACCUUGAUUAUGUAUCUUGAUGCCAUUGGUGAAAAGAUAGAGGUCUAACACUGACUGUGAAGAAAAUGACUUGACAGCUGAAGGGAACAUGAACAAUUUGAACCAGAUUUCUGAUAUGGCUCUUAAAGCAGUGAACUAAAAAACAUUUUCUUACUAAGUUUAAGAUUUUGAUAUCAAAGUUUUUGGAAGGGGGAUAUAGGAAUCACCCUGUUUGUUUGUCCAUCUGUCUGUGGACAACACUUGGAUUAUACUGCUCUAGCUCUAGUUGGUUAAAAUAGAUAAUAUCUAAAAUCAAAUGUGUCGUACUUCUUGUUUACUGUGCAUAAAUGUACUUUGAAGAACAUACUGUAUAAGUAGAAUUUUUAGCGAGGAUUUAAUUUUGGCAUUAUUAGAGAGGGUGCUGACAUCGCUAAAAUUGAAUAUUGCUAAAAAUUAAUGUCUUAUUAUUUGUAAUAGCUUCUUUAGUAAACAUUUUAAAAUCGCUAAAAUUACUUCUGGCUAAAAAUAAAAUACCAGACUUUGGUAGAAAUCGCUAAAUUUGCAUCUCGCUAAAAUUUCCACUUAUACGAUAUUUUAUUAUUUCUAGCAAAAUAUUUCUGUAAAAUAUUUGACUGUACACUUCAGAAAAAAUUCAGUCUCAGAAUCAGGUACAAGAUAUGCUGUAAUGGUGCCUAGUUGUGUCGCCUGCAUAGCAAGGGGACUCUUAGGGAUCACUUCUCCAUUGUCUGUCAGUCUGACUAGCUGACCAUCAGUCUAUCUGUCUGUCACAAUUUGAUAUGUCAUUCCUGAGACACACAUUUUCAAUGGAAAACUCUUGUUUUACGUUCAUAUCUGUGAUACUUUUAGUGAGCAUUGAUAUUUGACCAGUUGAUUGGUCUUUGAUAGUAAAAUAAGAUAAAACUUGAAAUAUAAAGUUGCUGUAAACUACAUUUUCACAAGCCUUGCUGAUGUUAAGGUUUAUUUUCAUUUGAAUAAGUAUAAGGUCAUCUUGUGUUUAACAGACACGACUUCUCAUUAUACCCCCUGUAAACGAAGUUUGGGGGGGGGGGUGUAUAUAGGAAUCAGCUUGUCUGUCUGUCUGUCUAUCCGUCCGUCCGUCUGUCUAGCUGUGCAAACAUGUACGGUCCAUAUCUUUCUUACGGAGGAACAUUAGAAUCUACUACUCCAUACAAAGAUUGCUCAUGACCUAAGAGUGUGUCAUGACCUUGACUCAAGGUCAUUUGGGGAAGUUCAAGGUCACUGGAAGAAAAAUUUCAUUAUUUGUGUCCGUUCCAUAUCUUUCUUAUGGAUUAACUUGGUAAGUUCCCAUUUUACAAAAAGAUUCCUCAUGACCUAAGGGUGUGUCAUGACCUUGACCCAAGGUCAUCUGUGCAUGUUCAAGGUCACUAAAAGAAAAAUUGUAAAAUUCAUGUUUGGUACAUAUCUUUAUUUUGGAUAAACUUGAAUCUACUACUUCACACAAAGAGGGUUUAUGACCUUCAUCAAAGUUUAUUUAAGUUCAAGGUCACUGAAAGGAAAAUUUCUUAAUAUGUGCAUGGUCCAUAUAUUGCUUAUGGAUAAACUGGUUAGUUCCUAUUUCACACAAAGAUUCCUUAUAACCUUAGGAUGUAUCAUUACCUUGAUGCAAGGUUAUCUAUGCAAGUUCAAGGUUAUAAAAGCAACAAGUUCCUAAUUCAUGUUUUGUACAUAUCUAUCUUAUGGAAAAACUUGGUAAGUUCCUGUUUUACACAAAAAUCGCUUAUUGUCUUGAGGAUGUGUCAUGACCUUGACCCAAGGUUCCUUGUGUCAGUUUAAUGUCACUGAAAGGAAAAACUUCAUAAUUUGUGCCUGGUCCAUAUCAUUCUUAUUGAUAAACUUGGAUACUUUCUUGUUUACACAAAGAUCACUUAUGACAUAAGGGUGUGUCAUGACUUUGACCGAAGGUCAAUUGUCCAAGUUCAAGUGCACAGACAGUAAAAAAAUUAUAAUUCAUGUCUGGUCCAUAUCUUUCUUAAGGAUAAACUUGGAAGGUUCCCAUUUUACACAAACAUUGCUUUGACCUGAGAACUUGUCAUGACUUUAAACCAAGGUCAUUUAUGCAAGUUCAAGGUCACUGACAAAAAAAAUUCAUAAUUCAUGUGUGAUCCAUACAUUCAGUCUAUUUUUUAGGCUGCACCUUCGUUUCAUUUAUAAAAAAAAAAUAAUGAGCAAUUACAUUUGCACUAAAAUGUUUUAGCUUUUCUCUCUUCUCUUAGAUCCAUAAAAUAUUCAUGAUUUAGCACUUCUGAAAAACCCAGCGGGGGGUAUUUUGUCCCAUUUGGACAGUUCUAGUUGUUUUUAGGUUUAUAACUUGAAUAAUAAACAUGGUACAGCAAUGUAAAUUAGCCAGUAGACAGAGCAUUGGCGUCCCUUUGGGUUGAACAUUGCGUCAUUUUGACAUAUAACUUCGGCUUUUGUUAUGUCAUAUAUGGUCAAGUUUUUGCGUAUUUGGUCCACAUUCUGACUAUAUUGUAUAACUAUUAGACAUUGUAGAGCAAUGGUACUUAUUAUUACUUAUAUGAUGGGGUAAGUACAACAGGGUUGACAGUUGAUCAGGAUGCCAUGACCCAAAUAUUCCACUUGAGAGGCUUUAAUUUCCUGGGUGUAUGUUUCAUGUUUUGCCGAUCCUAGUCAAGUCAGUUGCUAGGGUAUAAAUUCCGUUGCUAUGGAGAUUUCUUUUCCUAUUGUUUUGUAAAAAAGUCGUACAUUUUAUGGAGAUUUUUUUAAAGUACUAUGUUUCUGUAGAUAUGGCAUCUAACUGUUAAAUAUCUGUUGUAAUAUUAAAAAAAAAUUGCCAAAACUUGCGAAAAUUCAUUGAAAGUGUUUUGAAAAAAAUGCAAAUUUUGAUUUCUGAAAAAAAAAAUUGGGACAUCCAACUACCAAUUUUUAUUUUAUUAUUUCAUAGUAUUUGGAUAUAUCUUUAACUUUGUAUGACAUACAAUAUCCACGGUUGUUGCGUUUUUAAGUAUUCAACUUUUGAAAAACUUAAUUUUCCACGGAUAUUCCCAUCAUGAAAAUCUUGUCAUUUUUCGGUUGCCAUAGCAACCAUAUCAAAAUUUUUAAAAAUACUUACAGACAUAAAGCUAUUUUCUUCUGAUGCAUCUUUCAUUAUUUCAUUAUAAGAAAACAAAUUUAGACCUUCCAAUUGUUCCCCCCUCUGCAUUUAAAUAUGUCUAAAUUUGUAUUAUUUUACAAUGUUUCGUUGAGAAUUUACUAUGCAAAUCACAUUUGUUGCCAUGGAAACCAAUGAUGAUGAAUAAAUUUGUAAAAUUUGUCUCAAA